rnacentral:tRNA from 1 species
AUAGCUCAGUGGUAGGGUGUGUGUUUAACAAGCACAAGGUCCUGGGUUCAAUCCCUAAU